AUUGACACCUGCAUUCAAAGAAAAAACCGUAUCAGAAAUUCUAGCUGUUGUAUUGGCGUUUUUUUUUUCUUUUAGCAUCUGACCUAUAAUAAACUUAUCCAAAAUUAUGCUUCGUUGAUUUUUAACUUCACGAUUAUGGUCUCUUUGACUACGCAUAAAAAUUUCAGAAUACCAUACAUGUGUAUUAAUUGGUUUCUUGACUACCUUCUUUUCCGCCAGAAUCAUAUUGUACAGGCCUUCUAUUUGAUUUUAGUAAUCGGCUCUACUAGUUGCUUCAUUUGGACAAGCUUCCCUCGAUUUCCACAUGCCAAUCUGUCUUCAUUUCAUUAUGUGGGUUUAUCAGCAUUGAUUAUCGUUGAAUUGGCCUCCUUUUUUUAUUUGGUAAACAGCAAUCCUGGAAUAAUAGACGCGCAAAACUGGAAACACUACAAUUCCAUGUUUCCAUAUGAUCACAUCAUCUAUUCGCCCAGUUUGUGUAAAACUUGCAAGUUUAAAAAAAUACCACGAAGCAAACAUUGUACAUAAAGCAUUUCUCGUUCAUAAAAUGAUGCCCACAUAUUGACAACCCUUUACCCUUUGCUGCUUUAGGCUCUAUCUGCCAACAUGAAUGCGCCUUUUUCGACCAUCAUUGCUAUUGGGUCAAUAACUGCAUUGGCCUGUUCAAUAUGCGAUGGUUCCUCUUUUUCAUGUUUAUUACAUGCAUUUUGCUAGGCUACGUAAAUGUUUUAUCCUUCUACAUUAUGAAAAGCACACUCGACCGGAACAAUUUUUGGUAUUACAUGCAUAUUGAAACCAAUGUGAUUUGCCCCACACCCUAUAAAACACUUUUUAGAAUUCUUUUUUUUUAUGAAAAUUUGCACAUGUGCUUCUGGAUUUUUACUUUUUUGUGUGGAAUAGCUAUUGCUGCGAUUUUUGGAUACCACCUCUACCUGAUAGGCACCGGAAAAACCAUGAAUGAAUCAGAUAAAUGGAAUAGAUAUCACGCCAGUAGAUCAAAUUCCUCUCUGAAAGACAAACAACCCGUGAAAAACAUUUAUGACCUUGGUGUGGUUCGAAAUUUUUAUCAUAUACUCUCUCCAUCUUCCAUUA